GCGGGCGUAGCUCAGUGGUAGAGCACAACCUUGCCAAGGUUGGGGUCGCGAGUUCGAGUCUCGUUGCCCGCUCCA
rnacentral:tRNA from 2 species